ACGGGGGGAGCAAGCGUUGUUCGGAUUUACUGGGCGUAAAGGGCGCGUAGGCGGCCACCGCAAGUCAGUUGUGAAAUCCCCGGGCUCAACCUGGGAACUGCAUCUGUGACUGCAUCGCUGGAGUGCGGCAGAGGAGGAUGGAAUUCCGCGUGUAGCAGUGAAAUGCGUAGAUAUGCGGAGGAACACCGAUGGCGAAGGCAAUCCCCUGGGCCUGCACUGACGCUCAUGCACGAAAGCGUGGGGAGCAAACAGGA
rnacentral:rRNA from 1 species